rnacentral:rRNA from 1 species
GAACGCUGGCGGCGUGCUUAACACAUGCAAGUCGAACGAUGAAGCCCAGCUUGCUGGGUGGAUUAGUGGCGAACGGGUGAGUAACACGUGAGUAACCUGCCCUUAACUCUGGGAUAAGCCUGGGAAACUGGGUCUAAUACCGGAUAGGAGCGCCUACCGCAUGGUGGGUGUUGGAAAGAUUUAUCGGUUUUGGAUGGACUCGCGGCCUAUCAGCUUGUCGGUGAGGUAAUGGCUCACCAAGGCGACGACGGGUAGCCGGCCUGAGAGGGUGACCGGCCACACUGGGACUGAGACACGGCCCAGACUCCUACGGGAGGCAGCAGUGGGGAAUAUUGCACAAUGGGCGAAAGCCUGAUGCAGCGACGCCGCGUGAGGGAUGACGGCCUUCGGGUUGUAAACCUCUUUCAGUAGGGAAGAAGCGAAAGUGACGGUACCUGCAGAAGAAGCACCGGCUAACUACGUG